UACAGAGGGUGCAAGCGUUGUUCGGAAUUACUGGGCGUAAAGCGUAUGUAGGCGGUUUGGCAAGUCAGAUGUGAAAUCCCUGGGCUUAACCCAGGAACUGCAUCUGAAACUGCUAAACUUGAGUAUCAGAGGGGAUGGCGGAAUUCCCGGUGUAGAGGUGGAAUUCGUAGAUAUCAGGAGGAACACCGGUGGCGAAGGCGGCUUUCUGGACAGUAACUGACGCUGAGGCGCGAAAGCUAGGGGAGCAAACAGG
rnacentral:rRNA from 1 species